rnacentral:rRNA from 1 species
AUCAUUAGUCUCUUAAUUUGGGACUGGAAUGAAUGGUUCAACUUCCUUUUUUUGUCUCAUUUUUAUAUUUUGAAUUUUAUAUUUUAGUAAAAAAGCUAAAAUUAUCUUUUUAGACGAGAAGACCCUAUCAAGCUUUAUAAUCAAAUUUUGUUAUCAAAAUAAAAAAUCAAUUAUUUUGCUGGGGCAGUAAAUAAAAAAUUUUUUAUUUUUUCAUUGUGAUUUAUUCAUCUUGUACAAACUAAAAAUUUUAAAAAAAUAAUAAGUUACUGUAGGGAUAACAGCAUAAUUUUUUUUAAGAGAUCUUAUUAUCAAAAAAGUUUGUGACCUCGAUGUUGGAUUAAGAAUCCUAAUUUAUGCAAUAGUUAAUUAAGG